rnacentral:tRNA from 1 species
GGGGCCCUGGAGAGUCAGGGAUGACCUCGGAGAUCUAAUAUAUUUCCAAGGGCAUGCCGCACCUGGAAUCUAGCGCGUUCCUUUCUUGAAGGGCGCUA